rnacentral:Y_RNA from 1 species
GGCUGGUCCCAGUCAGUGGUGUUUACAACUAACUGAUCACUACCACUUACAGAUUCCUUUGUUCCCUCUUCUCUCCCGCUGCUUCACUUGACUAGCCUUNN